rnacentral:rRNA from 1 species
CGGAGCAUGACGGUAUUAAUUCGAUGCAACGCGAAGAACCUUACCAAGGCUUGACAUACACCGGUAACGCCCAGAGAUGGGUGCCCCCUUUGGUGGUCGGUGUACAGGUGGUGCAUGGUUGUCGUCAGCUCGUGUCGUGAGAUGUUGGGUUAAGUCCCGCAACGAGCGCAACCCUCGUCCUAUGUUGCCAGCGGGUCAUGCCGGGGACUCAUGGGAGACUGCCGGGGUCAACUCGGAGGAAGGUGGGGAUGACGUCAAAUCAUCAUGCCCCUUAUGUCUUGGGCUUCACGCAUGCUACAAUGGCCGGUACAAAGGGCUGCGAUACCGCGAGGUGGAGCGAAUCCCAGAAAGCCGGUCUCAGUUCGGAUUGGGGUCUGCAACUCGACCCCAUGAAGUCGGAGUCGCUAGUAAUCGCAGAUCAGCAACGCUGCGGUGAAUACGUUCCCGGGCCUU